rnacentral:rRNA from 1 species
UACGAGGGGGUGCAAGCGUUGCUCGGAAUUAUUGGGCGUAAAGGGUAGGUAGGUGGUCUCAUUUGUCUGGGGUGAAAGCCUCGAGCUUAACUCGAGAAGUGCCCCAGAAACGGUGAGACUUGAGUCUUGGAGAGGGUUGCGGAAUUCCCGGUGUAGCGGUGAAAUGCGUAGAGAUGUGGAGGAACACCGAUGGCGAAGGCAGCCCCCUGGGUCAAGAUUGACGCUCAUGCACGAAAGCGUGGGGAGCAAACAGG